GGGCCUGUAGCUCAAUGGUUAGAGCUGACCGCUCAUAACGGUUAGGUUGCAGGUUCGAGUCCUGCCGGGCCCACCA
rnacentral:tRNA from 2 species